AAACUCAUAGACCUCCACCCCCUAAUAUAUGGUAAAAUACUACUACAAAAAACACAUUUUACCUCUGUAGCGGUAAAUUCAUGACAAUCAAACUAUGGAUAAGUUUAACGUCAAUAAAACCAGAGUCGUCGUCGUGCUUUUAUUGUUUCCAAACGAAAAGGGAAAAGUACGAACAAAACCCAAAGAUAAGAAGUUUUCAAAUCAAAACUAAUAAAAUGCCAGAGAUUACAGGUAAUGGGGUUGGUUACACAGAGGGAAGUUGUUA
rnacentral:lncRNA from 1 species